UUUAGGGCUUAGCUACAGAAGGUGCAGUGGAAGCUUUAAAUAAAACUGGAAGUUAAAAUAAUUAAUUAUUUUCAGUAACCUUUAUAACAAGAGACCCACAGGUUAGUUUCUUAACUUCCCCUCCCCCAUACACAUUUAAAAAAAAAAAAGACUACAUGUUUAAUUCACGGCCCCUUUAACGGCCUGUAGCGGAGCUUUUGAGACUAUCUAUCCAUAGCUGCCCUAGGCAAAUCAGAUUUUCUGUAUCAAAAUAUCAAAUUUUAUUGAUAUAUGUGGUUAUUUAGAGCCCCUGGUAUCAUCCUGGGUUGAGAUACAAAGAAACCAUCUUAGCCUGGACUGGAGCACAAAGUUACAGGGUUGCAUGUCUAGGCCAUGCCUAGGUGAGCUGGUCAGGCUUGAAAAAGAGGCAACAUUGCUUAGCAGAUACUUUGCAUUCUUCAACACUCUGUGGCUUUUUAAACCAUACAGUGCAGAGCGUGGAUUGAGCAAUAAGAUCAGUGGGACAAACAACACACCCUGUAGUGAUAUAGAUCACGUUCGCACAAGAGGAGCAGGUACCGAUUCCUUGCCAACUGUUUCCUUAAGGUUGACUGACUUACCAGCCCAACCCCCUCUCCUUUAGCCCCGAUGAAGCUUCUCAUUGUUCUUAGGUUUAGAGUUUCCAAGAUCAGCCAGCCUUCCAUUUUCCGGUUAUCAAAGCUCUCCUGCAAAGGGCAUUAGUCAAUUCUCGUUUGUGUCUUGUUAACCUAUUUGCAUACAAUACUUUCAUCUUGAAGUCACUGCUACUGCAGGGAGAAAUAUUCUGCCUUAUAAAAAUCCUCCACAGACACAGCCAAAACAAAAGCAACAUGACAAAUCCAUGUGCAGGAAGCACCAAAAAUGCACAAAGCAUGCACAGGGAACCAUUAUUAGACCCUGGUACCUCUACUCCAAAAAAUUUAAGCCAGAUUCUGACCUCAGUCACACUGAUAUAAUCCCCUUUAUUUCACUGUAUGCUUUACUCCUGAUUCAUACCAAAGGUAUUGAAAUCAGAAUCUACCCCAGGAUACUGUAGCCAAAGGCAGGAUAAUUCCUGUAGAAGGCCUUGACCUCCUUUGAAAUGUACUGUUUUGGGCCAGUUUGGAGCCAAUUUUUAUAACGGGGAAAGGUGUGGGGAACAGAGAACAUGCUAAGAAGCAGGUUGUGCUUGGAUGUCAUGGGGGGUGGGUUUACUACCGGAACUAAGACCAGUGUUGCCAAGCAAAAGCUACACUAAAUAAAUAAAAUAAAAAUCAAUCAGGCAACAAAGUCAUGAGGGUGGCUCUGGAAAACGAACACUAACUCUGUAAUUAUUGAAGUGUUCUUCGUUUGCCUUCAGAGUCCCCUCCUCCAAGCUUCUCUUUGCAAAUAAGGGCUAUUUUUUUAAAUAUUAAAGAUGACUCUUGCAUAAUCACUUGAAACCCAUGGCUUUAAGACUGCCAAACACUUUGAGAGUUACAGCACAGCAGUUUGGAUUUCGACAAGAUACUUUUCUCGUUCAUUAAUGUAGGCUGAGGCAUUUUCUCAUUCAUCUGCAGGAGACAGCUUGAGAGUGCUUUGAUAGAGGAGUCAGUCUGCUCAGUGGGGCACACUUUACAUGUAACAUACAUCCUGCCUGGUCACACUACAGAACGUUAUUUGUUAUAUGCACAGUUGCUCAUCCAACUGCAAUGCCUGUAUUAACCUUGUUAAAUUUUAGCUCUAUAUCUGCGCUUUCAGCUACUGCUGAAUAAAGAAGGAGCUUUUGAAGUUUGUCUCCAAUUUUAUGCUGAUUAGAGCAAUGAGAUUGUGCCUGUAGUCCUGGAAAUCAAUGGACAAUCCUUUUUGGUAUGCUUAUCAAAUUCAGUAGACUUCUGUUUCUCUGAAAUACUCACAUUCCAAAGACAUCAUUAUCAACUCAUAGCACGGCAAGAGAUAAACCCAUCCUAUGAAAUGAGCUAACCAAGAACACCCAGCUGGGGUUAUUUAUUUUUUAAAGCUUCAUGCUUUACUAAAUUGACAUUAUUAAAACUAGACUUAAAAAAAAAAAGACUCGUGUCUAUUUAUCUUUUUAGAUUUCUAUUCAUUCUUUGCACAUUUCACUUGGCCUGGACAGCGUGAAGGGUCAAGGCAGCUUCACAGUUAGGUGUCCCUAUAUUAGCCCAAAGAUUCAUAAGGUUCAAGUGCAUAAACAGAAAAAGAGCGUAACAAUUUUUUUUCUGCUGAAUUUCAUGACAAAGUUUCUGCAUUUCCAUUUAUUUAUAAUUAUUCUAUUUCAAAAUAGAAAUAUGGUGGAAUCAUAAGUGACAAAGGAUAUAGGUGCCUGGGGUUAAUGUUGAGGUUGUCCCCAGCAUUAAAUAAUAUUAUGAACCAUCUCAGUAUAUUGUGUUGAGGCAAUGGCACUUGUUAGACAAAUGAAAAGGAUCAGAAGAAAGUAUGAUUAACACCUCUAAUUCAGAACACUUGGAUUAUAAACCUUCUUAGGCUGUCUUGCAAUACAGAGACAUUUGCCUGCAUUUUCUAUAUAAUAAUUUGUAGAGGUACACAUAUCAAAAUAAUACAUUUUAGCAGCAAAGUGAUUAAUUGAAUCUGUUAAAUUCUUAAUGCUUAAUCCCAAUCUUGAAAAUGACUACUUAUUUUGACAUGCACAAGUUGUAAUGGAUCAUACCUUCCAAGUGUUACUCAGGAGCUGAGAAUCCUAAGACCCUUUGGGUCUUAACCUAUGAAAGCGCAGGGAAAUAUUUUGAAGGCUGACUGCAUUAGCACAGCUCUAUCAAGAGGGGGAGCUAAAAGACUGUUCCUGUUAGGACAGUGACAAGACAAGACAGUACAAGAGUGGGCUAACAGUGUGACCUAGAACAAAUGAAAUGCACAAGAAAAACCAAAAUAAAGGUGGGAGGGAUUGGAGCAGGAAAGAGAAAAGGGAAGACUUUAACAGAAGAGUUUAGGAAAUACCGAGAGACUCAAUGGCAGAAGAUAUACAUAUGGAAUAUUGUGAGAGGCAAUAUGAAACACAGGACACACAGCUAGCUAGAAGCUAUAAAAGAAGCUGUGUUAUCCAUAGGUUAGAAAGAGGAUCUGGGAUCAGGACACCUGCCUUCUAUCUGACAGUUCCCUUGGCGGGAGGAAGGGCAAUGACUUCCCCUCUCACCUUACACAUCUGUAAAAUGGGAAUAGUGCUGUUUGCAUAAUGCAGCUUCCCAGACUGUUGAAGCGUGAUCAGUGAUAAGUCUGUGGAGGGAAUUAAACUCACUGGUUUAAAGGAGUCAGAAAAAUGCAGGCAGAGUAAUACAACAACUUUAACAUAGAUAUCAAGAGCAUUUAACAUAGAUGUCAAGUCCCUCUCAAAUAAAGCUGCAUGAAUGAUACCCUCACAUCCACAGCUAGAGUGCCACCUUCAGGAGAGGAGAGAGAAGAUCUUUGCAGGUCAUGAUGGUAAAACCUGAAGUUUAUUUUGUAACACAGUUGAGAUAUAUGACAAAAGAGAAGGCCUAGGUACUAAAUUCAGCUGUGCAUUAAUGUUACUAGAAGUCUUAUUUACUUCUUUUAUCUAUGGCAGUGAUGCUUUGAAUAUUUGUAAUUUAAAUUACCUUUUCAUAAGAAUCAUGUAGGAGUGAAACAAAGGGUCUGUCUGCUCUAUGUACAAUAUCACCAAAUAUCCUUGGUAGAAACAUAAGUUACAGAGAGCGACAAAGGAUACAGGUGCAAAUUUAACGGGAUUAGUUUACAGGCAAAGAAAGUAAAAUAUAUUUAAAAAGGAAGAUGUCCCUGAAAACAUUCCCAUAUUCUUCUCAUUAGGCUAAGACAGCAGUCUCUUAACCUUUUUAGACAUGAGCCCUUUUCAGAAAAUGCCAGUUUUUAGUUUUCAUUCAUUUUUUUUCACCCAAGGGGCCACAGUACCCUGGUUGAGAAUCACCGGGGCUAAGGAGUCCUCCAGAGAUUAUCACAAAAUCAUUCCCUUCCCUUUUCUCAUGAAGGAAAGGUGAAGCUAGUAAAAAUGGUCCUCACCCGAGAUCCUGAAGCUUUUGUUUUUGGGAUAAAUCUAAAAUACAGAGUACUUUAAUGACAACUAUUUGAACUGGAUGCCACCUCUUCACUUUACGCAGCUCUCUACCGCAACUAAUCUGAAGGAGGGAUUGAAGUACCCAGUGUUGUGAAGUAUUGCUAAGAUUUACUUGAAUACAUGUUCAAGAGCAAACUCUUGGCAUGUGCUGUCAGAAGGGUUUCCCCUUCCUAACCCACAGAGCCAGUGGGGCCCCACAACAAAGUAUUCGAUGCUGUGAGCCUUAGCGUGGGUUCUAAUUUCUGCUGCUUGCUUUUAUCCCCAGCACCUAAACACUUCAUUACGUUUGCUCCUCUCUCAAGUCCUCUAAACCAUAAACCUACCGAGCCUCUUGGUUCUGACCCAGAUACUGAUAUUCUUGAGUAUGAAAUGCAGCCAUUUGUUUUUGUCAAAUGGCAUUUCUAUAGUAUAGGACAUAACUGACUCGUCUGCUUCUCUUGGGCAUUAGAGAAACAAAAGACAAGCCAUAUCCACACAGACAGAAAGAAGUCUGCUGGCCCACCUGGCUCUUCAGAUUAGCCAAGACAGGGGGGAUGCCCAGAUUUGUUCUGCAUAUUCACUUACAGCCCCUGCCAAGCUCUAGUUAAAUCCCUCUCAUUUAAAAAUAAGAUGAACAUUUUCAGGAAGGACGCUUAUCCAAGGCCACUACAGAAGAUUCAUGUGCAGUUUGGAACAUGCACACUUGAGUUUAAGUAACAGUCCUUACUCUGUUUUACCGACCCUCCCCCACCCCCACAAACACCUUUCUUCCCCCAGCUCCAAAUGUAAUCAAUUUAAUCCUGAGAAAAAAUCCAUCCUGUUAAAUACCUAACCUCAUCUUCACUCUGAGAUACCAUCUGGUCCCUACAGGACAUGUUAGGGUGCUGAUUCUAACUCAGCAGAGGGCAAAGACAGCAGAGAUUUCUUCCACUUCUGCGCAUAUAUGGAAAAAUAGUCCCAUUUUUCUUAGAAGGACUCAGUGGGGUACAAUCUUUCUGGUAAGCAUGGGGUACUUAGCCCUCCCUGAGUGUCACUCUGAUCUCCUUUCCUUGCCCAAUCUGCUGCCCUGUCUACUGCUGUGCUGCCUGUUUUCUCCCCACUCUGCCGCCUGCCACACACUGGCUUCCUGUGCCACUUGUGACACACACACCACAGGAUGGCCACCCACAGAUGCUGUGAUUCAUGGAGGAGUUAGAAGCCAGCACUGCAGCAGAGCUGGAUGCAGAGGCACUUAGAGCUGUGGUGAAAAGCACGUGCUUUGGUCCAUUUAGCAGAGUGCUUACCAUUCCAUAUCAAGCAACUGGAACAUUAAAUAUUGAGCAAAGUUAGUUAAUCUGUAUGGAGUAGAUUUUAAAAAUUAAAAAAGGGGAGAGGGGAAAAAAAUCAAUGCAGUCUUUCUGGUUGCCAUACCAGCUCUCAGUAAAUCUCUGAAAGUACAACAUCUAUGACAAAAUUAUUAAAAUAGAAACUUUCGCAACUGCAGACAGGCAGGCUUUCCUACCAUUAGACUGAGGAUGCUUGCAAAUUGAUGGUGAUUAUCUACAGGUGAAAGGAACUGUUUGGUGUUCAUUAGAUGCACAAUGGUAAGAGAUGCCCAUCCUACCAGGGCACCUGGCUACUCCAUAUACCCAAGACUCAUCUUGUGCUUGGGGAUAGAGACUGUACAGGUGACUGCCUCAACUCUACAUGUGCAUCUUGGUUGGCUCUCUCCGGCUGAAGCUCAAAGCAAGGGCCUGUCCUGCAUCUCCUUUCUAACAUUCACUAACACUGAGUCUAUAACCUCUCUUGGAAGAGAGCAGCUGGCAGUCCCCCUCCUUAUUUAGUGCCUGGGUUGGUGAGGGCCCCUACAGUCCCGGAGCUUACUGAGCAAGCAUCAGAGCAGCCCUCCUGAUUGAAUUUGCUUUUCUAGCAUUGAAAGGCUGUUGCUUUACAGCACUGUCCCAAAUGCACAUAUCCCAGCACUGUUUGCGCUUUCUCAAAUCUCCCCAUGAGGCAGGUGAGUGUCAUCCCCUGCUUAUAGAAAGGGAAAUGGAGGCUCAAAAAAAUACAUAAAUAAUCAGCCACACCACAAAUUAGAAUCAUUGUCAUGACAUCUUUUGGGACUCUUUAGCACCCCACCACCACCACCACUGGGGCCUGCUGGUUUAAGUGGUCUUUCCUUUAUGUUACCUAUUCCACACAUCCUUGGUAGCGCACACUGGAUUGACUGUUCAUUUUAAAACAACACCCCACCCCUCCCUUUCAUGUAUCCUGAAGGUAGCACUGCUUCACGUUUCUUUACUGGCUGAUUUUUGCAGAGCACAAAUGUUUCUCUCACUCCACAUUCAAUUUGCCUCUACAAUACCCCUCCUCUAAAAAAUCCACAUACAACCCAAGGCACAGAGAAUCUGCCUCCCCAUAACUCCUGUCUCCUGCUGUGCCUGGGCGUGUUGGAUAUUCACAGCAGUGCAUGCUGGUCUUAACUGGAUUUCUUGUUUACAUAUGCUGCACAGUAUAUUUCUUUAAACAAAGGAAGUAUGCAUUCAAUGUAUUGUUGGAAGAGGGAUGUUUUUAAAGCCUGACCUUACAUUUGAACUCCAAGGAUUUUGCAUUUUAUGAGAUCAAACACACAAGAACACGACCAAUGCAAACAAGAAAUAAGCCUUGAUAAUUAUGGCCAUGUGUCUUUGCUGCUAUUACUCAGUUAGGAUUAGCAUCUUUUCUUGAUAUAAAUAUUAUAAACCCUAUUUUUCAGGGUUUAACUUGGCUACAACAUAGUUCUGCGUUGACACCUUCAAACUCUCACGCAAUAUUAAACCUGUGAGAUAACUGAGUGACAGCCCCCAUUUCACAGAGAGAGAAACUGACUUAGAGGACUUCCCAAGGCUACCUGGCAAGUCAGUAGCAGAGCUAGGAACAGCAGGCAGGAGCUCCUGGCUCCCAGUCUUUUGCCUGUUUUGGGGGGAGUUCUCAAAUUGUGACCCAUGGAGUAGUUGCUAGAGAUCCCUGGAAAGUGAUCAGAUUGCACAAGUUUGGCUGAGUUUCCAGCUCCGAGUUCUGUGCCAGAAGAGAGGCGUAAAUGAAAUUCAGAGCAUAAAUAGACAGUGCAAUUCUUUUUAGGAGGCCGUGACACUUUGCACACCGAAAACAGUAACAAAUGCGUUCCUGAUUAUGUUUCCAUGUAAGCAGUUGCCACAGGGAUGUUAGGUGAUUGUAAGUAUGGAGGGAUAGAUAUGAUCUGUUCAAUCACAGACUGGGGGAGGCUGAGCUGGAAGUGGCCCUAUACUGCUUCCUUCUACUUAAGUAACAGGUUAGAGGUAACACUGCUAGAGUAUUAGAAACUCUGUUUUGAAUUACACCUGGUACCUGCUUUCUAUAUCCAUUGCUAUCCAGGCACGUGGUUAGCACUGAGGGGCAUCCAUAGGUUGCAGGGAUGACCUAAGUAUGCGGUGGCAAGAGGAGUACGAGCUGCGUAAAUACCAGGAGUUUAGAGGGAUUCUCUCUCCUUUCCUGCUGAGCUUCCUUUCAAAGCCAAAGGGACAACCUGCAUUUGUAGGUUUAAAUGCCAAAAUACUUAAGAAAUCCACUACUGCACAGAGGCGGUUAUUCCUCCUGGCAAUAAUCGGAUUGCUAAAGGAUGUUUACUACCACAUACCAGGAAAGCAAAUGAGUGGUCUGAAAGCAACUGAGGACUGGCACACAAGUGUGUAAAGCCAACAGUGGGUUAGUGCAUCAAAGCACAUGCAUUAUGGAGACUCCCUUCAUUAAGCACAGACUCAAAUGCAUGUGGCAUAUGGGCAACUUAAU